rnacentral:rRNA from 1 species
GAUGAACGCUGGCGGCGUGCCUAACACAUGCAAGUCGAACGAAGCACCUUUUAAGAUUCUUCGGAUGAUUGAUCGGUGACUGAGUGGCGGACGGGUGAGUAACGCGUGGGUAACCUGCCCUGUACAGGGGGAUAACAGUUGGAAACGGCUGCUAAUACCGCAUAAGCGCACGAGAGGACAUCCUCUUGUGUGAAAAACUCCGGUGGUACAGGAUGGGCCCGCGUCUGAUUAGCUGGUUGGCAGGGUAACGGCCUACCAAGGCGACGAUCAGUAGCCGGUCUGAGAGGAUGAACGGCCACAUUGGAACUGAGACACGGUCCAAACUCCUACGGGAGGCAGCAGUGGGGAAUAUUGCACAAUGGGGGAAACCCUGAUGCAGCAACGCCGCGUGAGUGAAGAAGUAUUUCGGUAUGUAAAGCUCUAUCAGCAGGGAAGAUAAUGACGGUACCUGACUAAGAAGCUCCGGCUAAAUACGUGCCAGCAGCCGCGGUAAUACGUAUGGAGCAAGCGUUAUCCGGAUUUACUGGGUGUAAAGGGUGCGUAGGUGGCAGUGCAAGUCAGAUGUGAAAGGCCGGGGCUCAACCCCGGAGCUGCAUUUGAAACUGCAUAGCUGGAGUACAGGAGAGGCAGGCGGAAUUCCUAGUGUAGCGGUGAAAUGCGUAGAUAUUAGGAGGAACACCAGUGGCGAAAGGGGCCUGCUGAACUGUUACUGACAC